AGGGAUGGCGGGCCCAGGAGGGAGGAGGACGACGUCCCUCCCGAAGAGAAGAGGCUGCGGCUGUUGCUGGAGAGGGGAAGCGCGCAGCCCGAGGACUGCGAGGACGGGGAGGACGCGCCGCGGCCAGGCAGGAAGAAGACCGGCACCCAGACAGGUGGCGACGGCAGAGGAAUCCUUCGUAGAAAUUCCUAAGGCUCAAUGCUGUGUGGAAGUUUCUAAGAAAGAAAAUAGUUUCCCAUCUUUGGGAUUCCCCUGAGAUGGUCCAAUCUGCAAAAAGUUCAUUGCCAUUUCCAUCAAGGACACUGAGAACAACAGUCUUAUCCGGAUUGGAUCCUGGGAAUUGAGAAGCUUCAACAAGUGGGAAAUGCACCCUCCACAGGUUCACACCCUUGUGGGCUAUUUCAGUUACCUAUUGCACCCUAAAAUUAGAAACUUUAAACCACCACAAGUCAUUAUUGCUCAUGACCCUGUGAGUUGCAUGGGGACUUCCUGUCUAGUUUAAUCUGGGCUCAUUUGUGUGGCUACCUGCAGCUGGAGGGCCAGGUGGGCGGAACAUCCAGGACAGCCUCACGUGUGUGCCUGGCAGUUGGUGCUGCCUGUCAGCCGGGGAACCUUGUUUUCCUCCAUGUGGCCCCUAGCCCUCCAGAGCCCCUCUCCAAAUGGCCCUUUAAGCAGGAUAGCCAAGGCUUGAUUGGUGCCAGCAUCCAAGAGGGCAAAAAUAUGGAAACUACGAGAGGGUUCUCAAGGCCUAAGACUAUAUGCACCCCAAAAAUCUGAGGUCUCAGUUAAUUCAGAAAGUUUAUUUUGCCAAGGUUGAGGAUGCACGCCUGUGAUACAGCCUCAGGAGGUCCUGACAACAUGUGCCUAAGGUGGUAGGGACACAGCUUGGUUUCAUACAUUUUAGAGAGACAUGAGACAUGAAUCAAUAUGUGCAAGAUAUACAUUGGUCCAGUCUGGAAAGGCGGGACAACUCCAGGUGAAGGUGAAGGUGAGACAACUCGAAGCGGAGAGGGGGCUUCCAGGUCAUAGGUAGUUAAGAGACAAAUGGUUGCAUUCUUUUGAGUUCCUGAUUAGCCUCUCCAAAUGAGGCAAUCAGAUAUACAUUUAUCUCAGUGAGCAAAGGGGUGACUGAAUAGAAUGGGAGGCAGGUU
rnacentral:lncRNA from 10 species